rnacentral:lncRNA from 1 species
CUUUGAGAUUCUACAGCCUGAUGACAUUUGCAAUUCAUGUGAACAAAUAGGACCACAAGAUUGAAAUCCAAAAUUGUCUUUACAGGUUGGAAAAAUUGUCUGGAAAAAAUGAAGUCCAAUUCAAUAAGCCUAAAUGUGAAAUUCUAGCCCUGAGAAGGAACAAUCAGCUGUGUGAUACAGGAGAGUGGAUGAGUGGCAGCAGCCAGUGAAGGAGAAUAAGGUCCAUCGCAGGCACCCAAGGAAUAUUUGUCAGGAAUUCACACUGCUCUGUAAAAGGAAACUACUUUGCAGAAAUGGGAAUGCACCAGGUUGUAAUGUCACAGCCAGAACACCGUGCCUGUACAGAUGGCAGGUCCAAGAGAGGCGGUGUGAGCAGGUUCUGCAAUGGAUUAGAGAAGAUCUCUUCAAUCAUAUUUCCUGCUUCCUGGAGACUUGGUUCCAGAGGAGGAAACUGUUCUGAUGGUCUUUUUCCACAGAGGUCAUGAAAACUGCUGUGACAGGUGAGGUGGCCAGGGGAAAAUGCCAAUCACUUAUGUUACAGUCUCCAUAUUUUGUGCUGUCCCCCAGACUCAUUCUCCAUUUGGUUGUUCAUUUUCUUCAUAGGUUUUGGCAGCCUUGCUGGCUACAAAUUUUCUCGUAUAUCCACUGAUUCGAAUUCUUGGUGUGAAAUACUUCUAGAACUCUCCUGUCAUCAGCUGCCCUUCUUGAAGACCGUUUUUACUCCUCUGUGUAGUUUGAGAUCUGAUCUUCUUCAGUGCCUCCAGUUGCUCUGAUAAAAGCUACUGUGUCCUGCAGAUAUACAUACAGGUAAGGUCCAAGCUCUGGGAUUUCAGACUUUUUUGUUUCUCAAGACCUAGUGAAAAACUUUAUCCCACCAAGCACAUAUGUUUAUGUAGUUUGCCAGGAGAAUCUUCUGCUAGAUCAGUAAAAAGAUAAAAUAGAAUGUCAAAAUCUGUAACACGUCAUUAAUUACUAGUGUAGAAUUUGCAAAUCCAAAAUCAAAAAUUC